UUUCCAGAAACUUCCCUGGUCGUUUCUCCAUUUAUGGUGCGGACACUCCUGAAUAAAGUCAAAUCCCUAACAGUAAAAAUUGCUUCUAUUUAUGGAGAUGUUUGGCCGAGAAGUUGUCAAUUAUCCAUUCCAAGAUGAUGUUCCACAAGGCAAAGGCAGGCUUGGAAGCAUCCAAAGCAAGAAGGCCAACCAAAAGUUAUCAUAUGUUUUUCUUUUUUGAACUUUUCUAAAAUCAAACACAACAUAAAUAGAAAUUGAUUAUAAUAAAAAUUUACUCUUAUAUUUAUUA